rnacentral:lncRNA from 1 species
AUCGAGUACCUUCUAGAUGCUCAAUAGAGCUACAAGAGAUGCUUAGGAUACAGCAAUGAACAAGAAAAGUUCCUACCCUUGUCACCGGCAACUUUGAGGAGUAGCUUCAUUGAGUGGGGGAAAUGGAAGCCAGACUAGAGCCAAGUGAAGAGAGGAUGAGAAGGAGAGGAGGACACUACCCGGUGUGGAUAACUCUAAUGAGGAAGAGUUAUGUCCUGAAGGAGAAGAGGAACCACAGUCACCAAACAAAGAUGAAACAAACAAGCACUUCAGUAAUGAUGCCCAGAAGGCAACCAAAAGCAGCAAGAUUAAGAGGAGAGAAGUCUACAUCCCUAAUGGAACCACAGAGCCCUGCUGAUCUUUCUGCCCAGGUUGCCCUUGACAACCACACUACUGAGUAUCUCCAAACAGAGAACAAGGAUAUAUGACUUACACCUCCUCUCCAUGAUGCCCCAAAAAUUACGUACAGACAGCGGAUUCAGCAUCUGCUUAUAGAGUAAACUGCACCCAAGAUACCCAGAGCUUCAGGAAACAAAAGAAAUUAGGUUAGGCUUCUAAGGGUUGACUUCUGGGAGCUGGGUAAUUAAAUGAGUCAAUACUUACCAAAAAGGUGCCAGCAGGUCACAAGAAUUCAACACAAAACUAAUAUAAGGCUAUUAUUAAUACAAUCUUAAAAGCUGAGCAUCUUCCUGCAUGUAUAUUUUUAUAAUCGGUCAUCUUAUUAAAACCUCAUUCUACCCUUCAGCAGUUUGUGAAUACAUCAUCACAACAAGUGAUUAUUCAUGACAUGUGUUUGAUGAAUCUGUUCGUUAUGGUUUGAAAAGUAGACAUCACAUGAUCCCUUCAAGGAUCUAGUUUCACCUCUCAGAAUAGUUGAACAUUUGGCCUUGCCCCUGUUGGUAACCCAAACCCAACUGCUUUGAAAAGUUGCUUAACUGGAAUGAGGUA